AGCACUUGUGAUAGUUUUGUCUAAUGUGUGGGUAAAAAAUGACAGGUGCAAAAUAUGAAUCCUCUUUUGCAACCCAGAACUUAUUGUGCAGUGUGACUUUUGAUACAUAGAAAUAGAAAUGUU
ensembl:snoRNA